rnacentral:rRNA from 1 species
AUUGAACGCUGGCGGCAGGCCUAACACAUGCAAGUCGAGCGGAUGAAGGGAGCUUGCUCCUGGAUUCAGCGGCGGACGGGUGAGUAAUGCCUAGGAAUCUGCCUGGUAGUGGGGGAUAACGUCCGGAAACGGGCGCUCAUACCGCAUACGUCCUGAGGGAGAAAGUGGGGGAUCUUCGGACCUCACGCUAUCAGAUGAGCCUAGGUCGGAUUAGCUAGUUGGUGGGGUAAAGGCCUACCAAGGCGACGAUCCGUAACUGGUCUGAGAGGAUGAUCAGUCACACUGGAACUGAGACACGGUCCAGACUCCUACGGGAGGCAGCAGUGGGGAAUAUUGGACAAUGGGCGAAAGCCUGAUCCAGCCAUGCCGCGUGUGUGAAGAAGGUCUUCGGAUUGUAAAGCACUUUAAGUUGGGAGGAAGGGCAGUAAGUUAAUACCUUGCUGUUUUGACGUUACCAACAGAAUAAGCACCGGCUAACUUCGUGC